rnacentral:miRNA from 1 species
ACAUUUGUACUUCAGAUAAACAAUGAAUGUUUCUAGUGUAAAUAUGUCCUGUGCAAUAGUUGGGACAUAUUUAUACUAAAAUAUUAUUUGUUGUUUAUCUGCAAUUUCAAAUUUAACUGGACACCCUGUAUUUU